rnacentral:rRNA from 1 species
UACGUAGGGGGCUAGCGUUGUCCGGAUUUAUUGGGCGUAAAGAGCGUGUAGGCGGUCCGGUAAGUCCGCUGUGAAAGUCGGGGGCUCAACCCUCGGAUGCCGGUGGAUACUGUCGGGCUUGAGUACGGAAGAGGCGAGUGGAAUUCCUGGUGUAGCGGUGAAAUGCGCAGAUAUCAGGAGGAACACCAAUUGCGAAGGCAGCUCGCUGGGACGUUACUGACGCUGAGACGCGAAAGCCAGGGGAGCAAACGGG